rnacentral:rRNA from 1 species
UACAGAGGUCUCAAGCGUUGUUCGGAUUCAUUGGGCGUAAAGGGUGCGUAGGCGGCUCGGUAAGUCGGGUGUGAAAUCUUGGAGCUUAACUCCGAAACUGCAUUCGAUACUGCCGUGCUUGAGGACGGGAGAGGAGACUGGAAUUUACGGUGUAGCGGUGAAAUGCGUAGAUAUCGUAAGGAAGACCAGUGGCGAAGGCGGGUCUCUGGACAGUUCCUGACGCUGAGGCACGAAGGCCAGGGGAGCAAACGGG